CCUACGGGAGGCAGCAGUGGGGAAUAUUGGUCAAUGGUCGGAAGACUGAAGCAGCCAAGCCGCGUGAGGGAGGAAGGUACAGGGUAUCGUAAACCUCUUUUGUCAGGGAACAAAGGCGGGGACGUAUCCACGAGUGAGUGUACCUGACGAAAAAGCAUCGGGUAGCUCCGUGCCAGCAGCCGCGGUAAUACGGAGGAUGCGGGCGUUAUCCGGAUUUAUUGGGUUGAAAGGGUGCGCAGGCGUUCUGUUAAGUCAGCGGUAAAACCCCGGGGCUCAACCCCGGCCCGCCGUUGAAACUGGCAGUCUCGAGUGGGAGAGAGGUAUGUGGAAUGCGCGGUGUAGCGGUGAAAUGCAUAGAUAUCGCGAAGAACUUCGAUGGCGAAGGCAGCAGGCUGGCUCCACACUGACGCUGAGGAACGAAAGCGUGGGUAUCGAACAGGAUUAGAUACCCGUGUAGUC
rnacentral:rRNA from 1 species